CAUCGGUCCUUCGUGAUAUUCAGCUGUGAACCCCGUCAGGCCCGGAAGGGAGCAGCGGCAGCAGUCACAAUAUGCACCGAAGUUUCGCUGGUGUAG
rnacentral:SRP_RNA from 1 species